rnacentral:siRNA from 1 species
GAUACUCAGGCUGUGAAUGGUAAC